CAGCAGCCGCGGUAAAACGGAGGGUGCAAGCGUUAAUCGGAAUUACUGGGCGUAAAGCGUGCGUAGGCGGUUCGUUAAGUCUGUUGUGAAAGCCCCGGGCUCAACCUGGGAAUGGCAAUGGAUACUGGCGAGCUAGAGUGUGUCAGAGGGUGGUGGAAUUCCCGGUGUAGCGGUGAAAUGCGUAGAGAUCGGGAGGAACAUCAGUGGCGAAGGCGGCCAUCUGGGACAACACUGACGCUGAGGCACGAAAGCGUGGGGAGCAAACAGGAUUAGAGACCCGCGUAGUCCCUGUCUCUUAUAC
rnacentral:rRNA from 1 species